GAUUAGCUAGUUGGUAGGGUAAGGGCCUACCAAGGCGACGAUCGGUAGCUGGUCUGAGAGGAUGGCCAGCCACACUGGAACUGAGACACGGUCCAGACUCCUACGGGAGGCAGCAGUGGGGAAUAUUGGACAAUGGGGGGAACCCUGAUCCAGCAAUGCCGCGUGUGUGAAGAAGGCCUGAGGGUUGUAAAGCACUUUCAGUGGGGAGGAGUGUUUGUAGGUUAAGAGCUAAUGAACUGGACGUUACCCACAGAAGAAGCACCGGCUAACUCCGUGCCAGCAGCCGCGGUAAUACGGAGGGUGCGAGCGUUAAUCGGAAUUACUGGGCGUAAAGGGUGCGUAGGUGGUUGAAUAAGUUAUCUGUGAAAUUCCUGGGCUUAACCUGGGCCGGUCAGAUAAUACUGUUUAACUCGAGUAUGGGAGAGGGUAGUGGAAUUUCCGGUGUAGCGGUGAAAUGCGUAGAGAUCGGAAGGAACGCCGUAGCCGAAUGCGACUACCUGGCCUAACCGUGGAGUUGAGGCUCGAUAGCGUGGGAGCAAACAGGAUUAGAAACCCCGGUAGUCCACGCCGUAAACGAUGUCAACUAGCUGUUGG
rnacentral:rRNA from 1 species